CCUACGGGAGGCAGCAGUGAGGAAUAUUGGUCAAUGGACGAGAGUCUGAACCAGCCAAGUAGCGUGAAGGAUGACUGCCCUAUGUGUUGUAAACUUCUUUUGUAUGGGAGUAAAAUGUUGCACGUGUGGGAUUUUGUAUGUACCAUAUGAAUAAGGAUCGGCUAACUCCGUGCCAGCAGCCGCGGUAAUACGGAGGAUCCGAGCGUUAUCCGGAUUUAUUGGGUUUAAAGGGAGCGUAGGUGGAUUGUUAAGUCAGUUGUGAAAGUUUGGGGCUCAACCGUAGAAUUGCAGUUGAAACUGGCAGUCUUGAGUACAGUAGAGGUGGGCGGAAUUCGUGGUGUAGCGGUGAAAUGCGUAGAUAUCACGAAGAACUCCGAUUGCGAAGGCAGCUUACUGGACUGCAACUGACACUGAGGCUCGAAAGUGUGGGUAGCAAACAGGAUUAGAUACCCUAGUAGUC
rnacentral:rRNA from 1 species